rnacentral:rRNA from 1 species
GACGAACGCUGGCGGCGUGCUUAACACAUGCAAGUCGAACGGAAAGGCCCUGCUUUUGUGGGGUGCUCGAGUGGCGAACGGGUGAGUAACACGUGAGUAACCUGCCCUUGACUUUGGGAUAACUUCAGGAAACUGGGGCUAAUACCGGAUAGGAGCUCCUGCUGCAUGGUGGGGGUUGGAAAGUUUCGGCGGUUGGGGAUGGACUCGCGGCUUAUCAGCUUGUGGGGGGGGUAGUGGCUUACCAAGGCUUUGGCGGGUAGCCGGCCUGAGAGGGUGACCGGGCACAAUGGGACUGAGAUACGGCCCAGACUCCUACGGGGGGCAGCAGGGGGGAAUAUUGCACAAUGGGGGGGAGCCUGAUGCAGCAACGCCGGGUUCGGGAUGACGGCCUUCGGGUUGGAAACCGCUUUCGGCUGUUACGAAGCGGGAGUGACGGUAAUGGGUGAAGAAGCACCGGCUAACUACGUG